GACGAACGCUGGCGGCGUGCUUAACACAUGCCAGUCGAACGGAAAGGCCCUGCUUUUGUGGGGUGCUCGAGUGGCGAACGGGUGAGUAACACGUGAGUAACCUGCCCUUGACUUUGGGAUAACUUCAGGAAACUGGGGCUAAUACCGGAUAGGAGCUCCUGCUGCAUGGUGGGGGUUGGAAAGUUUCGGCGGUUGGGGAUGGACUCGCGGCUUAUCAGCUUGUUGGUGGGGUAGUGGCUUACCAAGGCUUUGACGGGUAGCCGGCCUGAGAGGGUGACCGGCCACAUUGGGACUGGGACACGGCCCAGACCCCUACGGGAGGGAGAGGGGGGGAAUUUUGCAAAAGGGGCGGAAGCCUGAUGCAGCAACGCCGGGGGGGGGAUGGCGGCCUUCGGGUUGUAAACCGCUUUCGCCUGUGACGAAGGGGGAGGGACGGUAAUGGGUAAAGAAGCACCGGCUAACUACGG
rnacentral:rRNA from 1 species